UUUCAUAUAAAUAAGAAUACAUUUUUCCUGGUGCAGUUUAGAAACAACUUUUGUACUCUUGGUAUCCAAGUUUUAUAUUCAGUUUUUCCGUAUCUCCAACUAAUUACACUACACGAUGAUCCCCUUAUAUUUUUAUGCUAUUUUCUCAAAUUUUUAAGAAUAUAAUCGUUUCAAAUAUUGUAGCAUUACCAACCCUUUUUAGUGCAAUAAUUUUGAAUAUAUAGUUUUGCUGCAUAAAAAGUAUUGCGUAAAAAGUGUUCCUCCCAUAUACGAGGGAUAGUUGCAGUUUGUAAUCAAAUAAAUUGGGUUUAUCUAAGGUCGUUCUUUUAAUUUGUUUAGUACUGAGUUAUGAUUUUAUUUGUUAUAAUUUAGGUUUAAAAAAGCAAUAGUAUUCUGUUGAAGCGAGAAAUUAAAUUAGUAUUUUGACAUGUAAUUUCAGUUAAAUGUUAUGUUUGAAAUUUAAUUAAGCAAUGUGGAAUCUGGACGUAGUAUUUUGAAUUUACAUUUCGAAGAAAAGUUUGACAUAACCUCAGGUUGGUAUACAUUUUGGUAUAGCCUCAGGUUGUAUACAUUUCAAUUGUCUGACAAUUGAACAUACAAAAGAGUAGGGAAAAGCAAGUUUUUUCGGGUAUGAAUUUUUCAACUUAUGCGUGUUUUUUAAAAGCAGUAGCGAAAAACAAUAGGGUUCUUAUUUUCAAUUCUUUCUUCAUAUACGAUAUGAAAGUGUGUGCGCUAAUGUGUUUCGUGCAAUGCAAUUUAUAUGUGUGUGAUGUACUGUAUUUAUGUUUGUGUUUGUAUUUCGUAAGGGCAUAUUUUAUAAAUGCAUCUCAUUGGAUUUUUUUCUGAUCCAAUUAAGCAGUCAGUAAUUCUGGAUUUAGAUUCAUAAUCUUUUUAACGUAUUUUAGAAUUUUUUUUACCGUAUUUUAGAGUGUUAGUGAUAGUCUUUUUAAGUGUUUUGCUGCAGUUAGGUGAUUCUAUUCCGUCGGCCAUAAGUUGGCUUCAGUAUGUUGUCUUAUAGAUUCUUUAAUUGAUAAUAGUCAAGUAUUUUGGUUAUGCCAUCUUAUGUUUUGUUACUACCCCACCCCUUUCCAACAUUACACAAACACACACUAUUUUCCUUCAAAUACUAUUAGUUAUAUUUUUUGUUGCUUUUCUUGCAGAUGAUAAUAUUGGCCGCUUUACCGAAAUUCUCCCCCAUAUAAGGGAAUCAAGAAACUUUUUUGUUCCUUCUCGCUGCGAACGACGUCGUAUUGCUGCACAGGCCUACAACUGCGGGCUCCGACCGCUGCCCGUGCUCUGACCGCCGCCUCGUCCGAUGCCCGCCGGCGUGUGGCGCCAGGCUUUGACGGCGGCCGGCAGGCACGUGGUGUUCUCCACAGCGCUACAAGAGCAGGACCGAAAAUCGCGUCGGCGGAAUUACGCACCCCCUUCGGACAUCUCUGAUAGAUAUUGGUGUCUUUAUUAUGGAUACCGAAAAAAAGUCGUUUGCAUAGUACUGAAAUUUCACGCCCUCGUUCCAAUGUAGAUUGCAAUAUUGAGGGCGUGCUCUUUGUAGCUGAUUCAGACAAGAGAGUUGCUCGUAACGAGAAAAGUCGUGCCCGUUAUGCAGCGAUAAAUGCCGAAAAAAAGGCUGCCGUACUUCUCAGCAAUCGUGCCCGUAGGGCUGCUCUCCGUGCAGAACGUUUUCACGGUAUUGGGGGCCAGUCACUGGACCUUUCUUCCAACGUUUCUGCUCAAAGACAAAUUGGAGAAACGUCGCUUAAUGAAAUGAGCUCGAGAUCCCACCAUAUUAUUAGAUUGACUAUUGAAAGCUGUUCUCGUGACUUUUUAGGAAGGGACAAUGCGAGCACUCUUACAGCUGCUGCGAAUUUCGUCGAUUUGGCUGGAAGUGAACGAGCAUCUCAAUCAAUAUCAGCUGGCACAAGGUUAAAAGAAGGCUGUCAUAUUAACCGUAGUUUGCUUACACUUGGAACUAUUAUUCGUAAGCUGAGGUAAAGAUCACAUUUUUAUCAAUAUAUCGUAUUCUUUUUUUACGGAUUUAAUUAAAAUAAAUGAACCCCAGUUCAGAUUUAGUUUUUUUUAGACGUAUUCUUUGGUCUUUGAAUGUUGUUGUCUUCGUCCAUUUGCGUUCGCAUGAUUAAUAUAUGCUUAGAUUUUGGGCGUUAUAGUUUAUGUUCUAUUUUUUCUUACAUAAAAAGUCUGUUACAUGAAUAAAUUUAUACUUGCAGGUCUAAGAACCGCACAACUUACUUAUCCAGAAUUUGAGAUUUCACUAGAUGAGCAUGGUGCUAUUGUCGUGCUUGGGCUAAAAUACCAAAUUGUUGUUUCCAAAGGCAUCAUCCUGUGAUGGGAUUUUUACAAUAACUUAAUAUUCUCUUUUGCAAGAUUUAGUAGACUAUUUUAUAUUUUCUUUUGCAUAACAAAGUAUUAAUGUGUUUUCCAAAAUUCAGGGACUGGCUAUUCCAAAUAAGAAUAUGGCACCUGACAUAAACAAGCGACAUUUAGAUUGAACUAUUUAAAUUUUAACAAUAUGUUUUGGUUAGUUCCGAAAAUCCAUUUGUCCAAGUUCUCUUAGACCCAUCUCUAUAUCACUUGGGCUAAAAGUCGCUGUGAAAUUUGAUAUUUUUGUAUCAUAUGAUUUUUCAGGCGAGGCACUAGAUAAAAAGCUCUCAGUACCGUGGCGUCAGGUUUUAUCGAAGAACUGGCUGUUGGGAGUCGUUAAUAUGGUAUUAUAUAUAAAUAUAUAUCUAUGUGCAGGGCGAUUUUUUUUUUCUUUUUUUGUUGUUUUCCCGUUUCCCCGGAAUAUUACUUCUCUUUUUUUUUUUUUCUUCUACACGUGAGUCAACGUGUUCUUUCUUCUUUGAUUUAGGGAUUCCAUAAAGCAAGUUUAUUUACUUUUGUUUUCUUUUAUCCAAUUCUUAUUUCAGUUUGGAAAGAUAUAAUAGUAUAUUUUAUUGAAAUCCUUGCUUAUCGCCCCCUUCUUUCGCCCCCAAAAUUAUUUUCCUUUUUCAUUUGGCCAGUUUAUUCACAAUACGACGUCGUCUCUUCCCCUCCUCCCAAUCAGCAUCGAGCAUUCUUUUAUUUUUCCUUUUCAUCCGAAGCAGACUGCUCGAAGAUUAAAUCAAGCUGCCUUCUAUAUCUUUCUCCUUUUCUUUUAAUCUCAAUUUUUUUCCCUUUCUCUUCGCCGCAAAUGCUGACCGCUCCGCUAUCCCGCUCUUUUUCUCCACUCACUUUUAUUCUACGGUCCAAACUUCAAGAUCUGAUGGAGCUCUCGUUCCAGCAGCUUCUCCUCUCCCGCCAUCUGUAAUUGAUGACUCACCCUCCACCGUUUAUUGUACCGAGUACUCAGAUUUUCGGCCAAUUGUCUGCAAUUGUUCUGUUUGGUGCUGCUUUCGUUUCGUGCUGGCUCCGCCGACGCUGCCCGUGUGCUUCUCCUCUGCCCGCCUUUAUAUUUUGUCAUUGAUUUUUUCCUUUGCCGUCACACCUGACUGCCGAUUUGAUUUCCUGCAUUUGAUAUGUGUGGUAAAUAUUAUAUGUCAACUUUCUAAUUCUUAUAUGCAUUUGGUCUACCUUAGGUUUUGCAGCAGAAUCUUGCGGUGCUUACUAAGCUUCUGAAAGAUUGAAAACUUCGACAUCAACAAAAACCGUAUGCUUCUUUAAGCGAGAUGUUUGUCCAAAUUUGUUCACUUGGUGAUUGUUCGAAUACUAUUAUGGCAUUUUGUAGGUUAUGGACUUCGUGGUCUGCAGUUAUUUUUAGUCCUAGACCUCUUUCACUUCAUUUACUUUUAUUAUUUGUGUUAUUUCUAAUUACAAAAGAAUAUUAAUAUUAUUGAUAAGUUCAUGUUUAUGUUUAUCUC